rnacentral:rRNA from 1 species
CCUACGGGUGGGCAGCAGUGAGGAAUAUUGGUCAAUGGGCGCGAGCCUGAACCAGCCAAGUCGCGUGAGGGAAGACGGUCCUAUGGAUUGUAAACCUCUUUUGUCGGGGAGCAAAAGACGCCACGCGUGGCGUUCCGAGAGUACCCGAAGAAAAAGCAUCGGCUAACUCCGUGCCAGCAGCCGCGGUAAUACGGAGGGGGCAAGCGUUAUCCGGAUUUACUGGGUGUAAAGGGAGCGUAGACGGUUAUGUAAGUCUGGAGUGAAAGCCCGGGGCCCAACCCCGGGACUGCUUUGGAAACUGUGUAACUGGAGUACAGGAGGGGCAGGCGGAAUUCCUGGUGUAGCGGUGAAAUGCGUAGAUAUCAGGAGGAACACCGGCGGCGAAGGCGGCCUGCUGGACUGAAACUGACGUUGAGGCUCGAAAGCGUGGGGAGCAAACAGGAUUAGAUACCCGUGUAGUC